rnacentral:lncRNA from 1 species
UUUUUAAAUUUUUGACAUUUUUUCUGUUUCCAUGGUAACGGCGGCCAUUUUGGAAAUUCCAACUUCAAAAUCCAACUCUGGCCAAGUCAGGUACCAUUUCUGUAAAGUUUCAUCCAGUUUGCAGCAUUUUGAUUAUUUUGAAAUUUUGGACAUUUUUGCUGUUUCCAUGGCAAUGGCAGGUAUUUUGAAAAUUCCAAGAACUGUUGGUACCUCAGGGCACCACUGCCAACAUUUACAUAAACUUUCAAGAGGUUGCCUCUUAUAACGAAAGAUUUAGAAUUUUGAUUUUUUUUUACAUUUUUGCAGUUUCCAUGGUAACGGCGGCCAUUUUUUACCAUUCCAAUGUCUAUUGCACAACUUCACAUGGCGGUUCAUAUUAUGGUAUAGUUCCAUCAACAUGGGUCUGACCAAUUACGAGAAAUAGCGUGGACAAAAUGUGUGGAAGAAUAAAAAUAAAAAGAAAAAAAAGAAACGUAGAAUAACAAGAUGUCACCCCAACUCCGUUAAGGGUGCCAUAAAAAAGAAUCGUACAAUAACAAUAUGUCACCCGACCUCCGUGUGACAUAACUAGAUUUGCGAUUGCAAGCAAUAGCGGAUGGCACCCUUCCCCUAUUGCCAGGUGAGCAGCAGCCACUAUAUGAAAUUGUGCAAUCGGGGUAUGGCAUCAUCAAGAUGGCUGACGUUGCCAUGGAAACUAAAAAAAUGUAAAAAAAAAAUUAAAAUUCUAAAUCUUUCGUUAUAAGAGCCAACCUAAUGAAACUUUAUUUAAAUGUUGGCAGUGGUGCCCUGAGGUACCAACAGUACUUAGCUUCUGCAAAAUCUCUACCAUUGCCAUGGAAACUGGAGAAAAGGUUAACAUUGAACCUAUGGGAAAAAACAUCAAACCAGCCUUUUCUGAAGGAAUAUAACAUAAAGUUCAAAGAAACUUUAUGAAUAUAUAACAUGGCAUAAGUCGAUGUUGAAACUGUUGUUGGAAUUUUCGAAAUGGACACCGUUACCAACAGCAAAAAUGUCAAAAAAUCUCAAAAUGCGCCAAACUUAAUGAAACUCAUUAUGAAUGACCAAUGUCAAGUAAAGAUAUGAAAUUGGACUUCGGAAUUUCCAAAAUGGCCGCCGUUGCCAUGGAAACUACAAAAAUUUCAAAAUUUUCAAUAUGCUACAAAAUUGAGGAAACUUUACAACAAUGUUAACGGAAAUCUGUAUAAUUAUGCAGUCUUUGAAUUUUGAAUUUUCAAAAUGGCUGCCGCUCACCUGGCAAUAGGGGAAGGGUG